GUGGGGAAUAUUGGACAAUGGGCGAAAGCCUGAUCCAGCCAUGCCGCGUGAGUGAUGAAGGCCUUAGGGUUGUAAAGCUCUUUCAGGAGGGAAGAUAAUGACGGUACCUACAGAAGAAGCCCCGGCUAACUUCGUGCCAGAAGCCGCGGUAAUAAGAAGGGGGCUAGCGUUGUUCGGCUUUACUGGGCGUAAAGCGCACGUAGGCGGAUUGGUCAGUUAGAGGUGAAAUCCUGGAGCUCAACUCCAGAACUGCCUUUAAUACUGCCAGUCUAGAGUCCAGAAGAGGUGAGUGGAACUCUUAGUGUAGAGGUGGAAUUCGUAGAUAUUAGGAAGAACACCAGUGGCGAAGGCGGCUCACUGGUCUGGUACUGACGCUGAGGUGCGAAAGCGUGGGGAGCAAACAGGAUUAGAAACCCGGGUAGUCC
rnacentral:rRNA from 1 species